rnacentral:rRNA from 1 species
GCGAACCUUGGGUACCAGCUUAAUUAAUGUUUGUUCGAGCGGACAGAUGGGAGCUUGCUCCCUGAUGUUAGCGGCGGACGGGUGAGUAACACGUGGGUAACCUGCCUGUAAGACUGGGAUAACUCCGGGAAACCGGGGCUAAUACCGGAUGGUUGUUUGAACCGCAUGGUUCAAACAUAAAAGGUGGCUUCGGCUACCACUUACAGAUGGACCCGCGGCGCAUUAGCUAGUUGGUGAGGUAACGGCUCACCAAGGCGACGAUGCGUAGCCGACCUGAGAGGGUGAUCGGCCACACUGGGACUGAGACACGGCCCAGACUCCUACGGGAGGCAGCAGUAGGGAAUCUUCCGCAAUGGACGAAAGUCUGACGGAGCAACGCCGCGUGAGUGAUGAAGGUUUUCGGAUCGUAAAGCUCUGUUGUUAGGGAAGAACAAGUACCGUUCGAAUAGGGCGGUACCUUGACGGUACCUAACCAGAAAGCCACGGCUAACUACGUGCCAGCAGCCGCGGUAAUACGUAGGUGGCAAGCGUUGUCCGGAAUUAUUGGGCGUAAAGGGCUCGCAGGCGGUUUCUUAAGUCUGAUGUGAAAGCCCCCGGCUCAACCGGGGAGGGUCAUUGGAAACUGGGGAACUUGAGUGCAGAAGAGGAGAGUGGAAUUCCACGUGUAGCGGUGAAAUGCGUAGAGAUGUGGAGGAACACCAGUGGCGAAGGCGACUCUCUGGUCUGUAACUGACGCUGAGGAGCGAAAGCGUGGGGAGCGAACAGGAUUAGAUACCCUGGUAGUCCACGCCGUAAACGAUGAGUGCUAAGUGUUAGGGGGUUUCCGCCCCUUAGUGCUGCAGCUAACGCAUUAAGCACUCCGCCUGGGGAGUACGGUCGCAAGACUGAAACUCAAAGGAAUUGACGGGGGCCCGCACAAGCGGUGGAGCAUGUGGUUUAUUUCGAAGCAACGCGAAGAACCUUACCAGGUCUUGACAUCCUCUGACAAUCCUAGAGAUAGGACGUCCCCUUCGGGGGCAGAGUGACAGGUGGUGCAUGGGUUUCGUCAGCUCGUGUCGUGGAGA